rnacentral:rRNA from 1 species
GACGAACGCUGGCGGCGUGCUUAACACAUGCAAGUCGAACGGAAAGGCCCUGCUUUUGUGGGGUGCUCGAGUGGCGAACGGGUGAGUAACACGUGAGUAACCUGCCCUUGACUUUGGGAUAACUUCAGGAAACUGGGGCUAAUACCGGAUAGGAGCUCCUGCUGCAUGGUGGGGGUUGGAAAGUUUCGGCGGUUGGGGAUGGACUCGCGGCUUAUCAGCUUGUUGGUGGGGUAGUGGCUUACCAAGGCUUUGACGGGUAGCCGGCCUGAGAGGGUGACCGGCCACAUUGGGACUGGGAUACGGCCCAGACGCCUACGGAGGCAGCAGUGGGGAAUAUUGCACAAUGGGCGGAAGCCUGAUGCAGCAACGCCGCAUGCGGGAUGACGGCCUUCGGGUUGUAAACCGCUUUCGCCUGUGACGAAGCGUGAGUGACGGUAAUGGGUAAAGAAGCACCGGCUAACUACGU